CUUGGUCAUUUAGAGGAAGUAAAAGUCGUAACAAGGCCUCCGUUGGUGAACCAGCGGAGGGAUCAUUACCGAGUUUACAACUCCCAAACCCCUGUGAACAUACCACUUGUUGCCUCGGCGGAUCAGCCCGCUCCCGGUAAAACGGGACGGCCCGCCAGAGGACCCCUAAACUCUGUUUCUAUAUGUAACUUCUGAGUAAAACCAUAAAUAAAUCAAAACUUUCAACAACGGAUCUCUUGGUUCUGGCAUCGAUGAAGAACGCAGCAAAAUGCGAUAAGUAAUGUGAAUUGCAGAAUUCAGUGAAUCAUCGAAUCUUUGAACGCACAUUGCGCCCGCCAGUAUUCUGGCGGGCAUGCCUGUUCGAGCGUCAUUUCAACCCUCAAGCACAGCUUGGUGUUGGGACUCGCGUUAAUUCGCGUUCCUCAAAUUGAUUGGCGGUCACGUCGAGCUUCCAUAGCGUAGUAGUAAAACCCUCGUUACUGGUAAUCGUCGCGGCCACGCCGUUAAACCCCAACUUCUGAAUGUUGACCUCGGAUCAGGUAGGAAUACCCGCUGAACUUAAGCAUAUCAAUAAGCGGAGGA
rnacentral:misc_RNA from 1 species